rfam:Bacillus subterraneus strain MITOT1 contig_226, whole genome shotgun sequence.
CGGCGAUGCCUCCUGUCCGUUACCCACGGAGGCACUCGAUCAUGCUGUGGGAUGCUUCUAUAAGCAGGCCUUAGACACGGGAGUUGUCGAUAGCAUGAUGUGAGGACGGGUUAGAUGCCCA